GAUGAACGCUGGCGGCGUGCCUAAUACAUGCAAGUCGAGCGAAGCGGGGACGGGUGAGUAACACGUGGAUAACCUCCUAUCAGAUUGGGAUAAGCUCGGGAAACAGGAGCUAAACCGGCUACUUAGAGAUGGAGCCGCGCUGCAUUUGCUAGUUGGUAAGGUAACGGCUUACCAAGGCAACGAUGCAUAGCCGACCUGAGAGGGUGAUCGGCCACACUGGAACUGAGACACGGUCCAGACUCCUACGGGAGGCAGCAGGAGGGAAUCUUCCGCAAUGGGCGAAAGCCUGACGUAGCAACGCCGCGUGAGUGAAGAAGGUUUUCGGAUCGUAAAACUCUGUUGUUAGAGAAGCGGUAUCUAACCAGAAAGCCACGGCUAACUACGUGCCAGCAGCCGCGGUAAUUC
rnacentral:rRNA from 1 species